rnacentral:tRNA from 1 species
GCCCUGGUGGUGCAAUGGUUAAGCACUUGGCUGCUAACCCCAAGGUUGGCGGUUUGAACCCACCCAAAGGCU